rnacentral:rRNA from 1 species
CCUACGGGAGGCAGCAGUGAGGAAUAUUGGUCAAUGGGCGCUAGCCUGAACCAGCCACGUAGCGUGAAGGAUGACUGCCCUCUGGGUUGUAAACUUCUUUUAUAUGGGAAUAAAGUGCAGUAUGUAUACUGCUUUGCACGUACCUUAUGAAUAAGGAUCGGCUAACUCCGUGCCAGCAGCCGCGGUAAUACGGAGGAUCCGAGCGUUAUCCGGAUUUAUUGGGGUUAAAGGGAGCGGAGGCGGGUUGUGAAGUCUGUUGUGAAAGUUUGCGGCUCAACCGUAAAAUUGCAGUUGAUACUGGCAUCCUUGAGUACAGUAGAGGUAGGCGGAAUUCGUGGUGUAGCGGUGAAAUGCGUAGAUAUCACGAAGAACACCAAUUGCGAAGGCAGCCUGCUGGACUGUAACUGACGCUGAUGCUCGAAAGUGUGGGUAGCAAACAGGAUUAGAUACCCGAGUAGUC